AUACGGAGGGUGCAAGCGUUAUUCGGAAUCACUGGGCGUAAAGGGUGCGUAGGCGGUUUGGUAAGUCUGACGUGAAAUCCUAUGGCUCAACCAUAGAACUGCAUUGGAAACUGCUAAACUAGAAUACUGAAGGGGCAGAUGGAAUUAGUGGUGUAGGGGUAAAAUCCGUAGAUAUCACUAGGAAUACCGAAAGCGAAAGCGAUCUGCUGGGAAGUUAUUGACGCUGAGGCACGAAAGCGUGGGGAGCAAACGGGAUUAGAUACCCUAGUAGUCC
rnacentral:rRNA from 1 species